AGAACGAACGCUGGCGGCAGGCCUAACACAUGCAAGUCGAACGGGUAUCUUCGGAUACUAGUGGCGGACGGGUGAGUAACGCGUGGGAACGUACCCUUUGGUUCGGAAUAGCCUCGGGAAACUGGGAGUAAUACCGGAUACGGUCGAGAGACGAAAGAUUUAUCGCCGAAGGAUCGGCCCGCGUUGGAUUAGGUAGUUGGUGGGGUAAUGGCCUACCAAGCCGACGAUCCAUAGCUGGUUUGAGAGGAUGAUCAGCCACACUGGGACUGAGACACGGCCCAGACUCCUACGGGAGGCAGCAGUGGGGAAUCUUAGACAAUGGGGGAAACCCUGAUCUAGCCAUGCCGCGUGAUCGAUGAAGGCCUUAGGGUUGUAAAGAUCUUUCAGUGGGGAAGAUAAUGACGGUACCCACAGAAGAAGCCCCGGCUAACUCCGCGCCAGCAGCCGC
rnacentral:rRNA from 1 species